rnacentral:lncRNA from 1 species
GGAGAGGGAAUUACACAUCACCUGAUUUUGGAUGCAUGUGUGAGGUAUGCUACUGUACUCACAAGACAUCUGAAACUACACCCAGAUCAUCUAGAAGUUAACAAGUUCCAGGUGACGUCCCUAUGUAAACCAAGGGUUGGUUUUCAGUGGGGUAGAAAAUGCCCUUCAAACACUGACCCUGUCAUAUUGCAGAUGCCUUCAAAAAGUCAAUUAACCACUGGUGGGCAAUAUCCAAAAUUAAUAGCAGAAACAAAAAAAUAAAAGACUACUCAGCAAAGACAAAAAAUACCUAAAUCUAUCUUAUAACCUGGAGCAGAGCCACCACAGCUUCAGACAUGUAACAAUUAUGGUGUUUACUCUCUUGAAUAAUUUUAUUUUACUUAUUCAGAAACCUCAGCAAAUAAAAAUCUUUUUGGAAAAUUGGCAUGGUAUGGAUGGAAGUGAAGAAAAAUGUUCCAGGUUGCUUGUGCAAGACUUUCAAAGUGAAAUACCUACAAUUACACUCCAACAAAAUGGAACUCACUUCAAACUAAGAGCCCAUUCCAUGGAGGAGAGGAGAAUGAGAAUGUAGAACAGUCAGACAAAGGUAGAGAAAGGAAGAAUCCCAGCCAAUUCUUGAAGCUUAGCUUUAAAUCCAGUUUGUUCCUAAACACUCAG